CCCCCCGAUGUGAAGAAACAAUCUAGCCCAUUCCCCAGUCGCUAUGAGCAGUUUUCACACGAUGACGUUCCCCUCCCCCCGUCCCUUCUAUUUCGCAAUUGCGGCGGCGGCGGCGGCGGCAGGGAUGGCACCGGAGGAAUGACCCGACUGCUAUGGCUACUUCUCUCGAGCGUGGUGUACUUCCCUUUCCCUCUCCCACGCGGUGGCGAACCGGAGGCGACGUGGGCGGUGCAACGAUCGGGGCGAGCUCGGCGGCGCCAGCGGCCUUCUACGGCAUCCGUCUCCACCCUCGGCGGCCUUAUCGCUUGGGAAGGGGAAGAAACUAGGGAAGGAAAGGAAAAAAAAGAGGAGUUUAGGGAGUGAUGGAAGUGAUGCUGGAGACAGGCACCUGAUAGUGAGAUGAUGGAGGUGGAGAAGAAGGCCCAGCCGAUGACAUAGAAGAAGAGGAGAGCUCAAUGCUGCGGAGCAAAAGGAACAACAGUAUAGUAUCAGACUGAUUCAGCUGAGAUAUUUUAGUUUUUUUGCAAGACAUGUGAAUCCUCUCUGCGUUUUUGCUUUUGUUUAGAAUUCACGAAUUUUCUUCCUUGUAGCUAUAUGAUGGUUCCAACUUAAUUGGAUGUUAGUAAUGACGUACAUAAACAAUCAAUCUAUACGGCUGUACCUAGCUGACAAUGCUAUGUCUCUGUUUGGACCUGGCUGACAAUGCUAACUCUCUGUAUAUUUGUAUUAUCGAAAUUUGCGCAAACCUACAAGAAAAAAAUUCCUCAAUUAAAGAUGAUUCAUUUUACGAGGAAUUUGUUUUAUAUUUAGUGAAUUUAUUAGGCAAACAAGGAAUUGGAAUUCUGCCAAGAAAUCUAGGAGCAGAAGAAGAUGCAAGACUUGCGGACUAGCCAAAUGCUGUGCAGGCGAGAAAAUGGUAUCGCACAGCCCAUAAAGAACCGCUGGUAAUAUGAUUAAGUUUGGAGCAAUUCGUUAUUACUACCAGUUUCAAAUUAGAUUUAUUUCAAUUGCAAUGAGGUACAAGACUGGCCCUCUUCCUUGCUGUCUUAUCUUUGGUGUUUAUUUGGUUGAACUAGCAUAAACCUAACUUUUAAUAUUGAUGUGUUUCCGCCCAAUUUGUGUAUUAAGCCAUGCUAGUCAUCAAUUAAUCAAUCUCAAUGUUCCCUUAAUAGAUGAUUGCUAUUGAUUUGUUGUGGCUUAGCUAUCGAGGACAAAACAUUUUCCUUUCCCUUUCCCCCCUAAUAGUUGUUUAUUUGCUCCUUCUAGGAGGCCUGCAUUUUGCUAAUUGUCUAUUUGCUAGAGAAGUAGUGGCAAUGAACAUUUUUAUUCUGAUGCCUUAUCUGAAUAGCUUCAGAAAUUCUUAACAUGAAAAUACAUAAUAUACUUAUCUGUGUGUGGUUAAUGCUUCGUUGUUUAAAUUUUCUCUUUGUUAAAUGUUGGUAAGCAGAGUAUAUAUUCUUGAUUGAUUAUCCUGAAUCUGAAUUUGGGGAACAUGAUCUAACUAGCUUCUAAAUCAGCUGAGUUGUACUGAAUGAUGGUGUGUUUGCUGCUCACACAUUUUAUUCCAAGGGCCAUUAUGACAAAUAAUGGCCACUUAUAGGUUGCUGGUAAUGCAUUUUCACACCAUACAUAUGCUUGUGCUUACCCCCGUUGGGUAGUCAAUAUGAUACUGGUGCACUAAUCAGUGGAUUUCGGUUUGUUUUAUACAUGAAAAUAAGGUAAGAGUGUUAUGUCAGCUUCAAGUCCCUCGAAACCACAUACUUUUGUUCGUGUUGUUCUAGGUUACCUUCUUUCAUGGUGGCAUAAAUCUGUCUUAUAGAAAAUAGACGUGGAUGCUUUCCUUGCCAGUUCCAUGUAAUUUUUGUCUGGUUCUGCUGUAAUUUCAGAUGUAUGUGAGUUUUUGAGGUGCACAGUUCACUAGCAUUACAUAGGUUAGCAUAUCUUUGCUCCCACAUUUGCAUGACACAUGAUUUAUACUUGGAUUGUAUAUGAAUUACUGUUUGUGUAUGCAUAUGCUACUGUUUUCACCUCUAAUAUUUUAACUUCCUACUUCAGUGGAUGUGGUAAAGUGCAACAAUACUCAAUUAGGCCGUACUGAUUUUUAUGGUCGUCUUUUUAGCAUCUGGCAAAGCAGUAAGAUUAAAGAUGUAAUGGCCGUAACUAUACUUCUCGUCGAAAAGCGAUCUAUGGGAAAAAAAUACCUGUCCUCAACUCCUCAAGAAUCUGGAGGAUGUUGUGAGAGAUCUGACCUGGGAUUGUUACUCUCAUACAACCCUAUUCACAUCCAUGUUGUACUUACAUUUGCGAGCUACUCACUGGCUCUGCAAUUUGAAUGAAACAGUUCUCAUUUUCAGUCAUUUUUUCUGGGUAUUCCACACGGGAAGAAAAGCACAUUAGGCAUGCAUACAAUUGUCAAUUUUUACAGGCUGAAAUUUUUGAAUAAUUGUCAAUUAGUUUUCAGCCGAUUGCUUGUCAAUCUUCGCAGAUUUCCAGUUUAACCCGCCCUCAAUCCAGGAGUAAUCUUGUAUAACAUUCAGUUACAAGACACAAACUAGUUAAAUAUGAUGACUCCCACCAUUGUAUCUGGCACACUGAUAAAAUACAUGGUUUAGUGUGCAUUGAAACAAUUGUUACAGAGUUUGCCUAUUUAUCUUGUUUCUCACUAUACUUUUGAUUCAUAGCGUGUUAUGGGUUCAUGUCAUUCCGAACAGUUUGGUACAUCUAAUAUCCCUCUGAGAUAUCUAUGCUUUCAACAUUGUGUCCAGUUUAGGGUAGUGAAGCAUAUUAAUCCUAAAGUGUUAUAUGCGCUUGUGUGUUGGGGGCCUCUAUCUGUUUGUUAGUAUACUUCUGAGAACUGAUAAUAUUCUGCUUUUCAGGUAUCUGUUCAAGUGGAUGACAGUAAAUGUAUGAGGGUAGAGAGUAAUGUCUUCUUAUUUAUGGUCGGUACGAGUAACAUUAAAUUGAAAUUUCAGACCUUUUACUAAUCCCUCCAUCCCAUAGUAUAAGACGUUUUUGCAAACUAAACAUAGCUUGCAAAAACAUCUUAUAUUGUGGGACGGAGGGAGUAGUAACCAGUAGCAAAAUUCAGGUUUUGGGGAGAAGAAAAGUGAACCUAAGGGCUCCAAUACUAUUAAUAGCACAAUACCAUGUUGCAUUCAGUGUUUCAGUCCUGGAGACAUUGCUGAACAGAUGAAGUUGGUGGAAAAUCUAUGGUCACCUAAAAAUUAAGCUGCUUGAAUAUCAAGUUCAGAAGUACUGUAGUCAGUUUUCAAGUUCGGUAGUAUUCAGUUUUUGUAAUAGUGAUUUCUGAAUAUUUCGAGAAAUGUGAUAAAAAGUCUUGCUAGUUCAUUUAACAUGAUUCUUAUUAAGAACUGUACUAGCAAGACUUUUUAUCACAUUUCUCGAAUGUAUCUUAGUUCACUAGAGUACUAGACAUACGAGUUGGCAACCAGCUGAUGGCACGACAAGUCUGGAGAUGCCAAAUUACCAUCUAACACUUGUGAUAUUUCGGAAUGUGAUGACUCUGGGUUUAGUGAAGUGGUUGAAGAAAACAAGCCUGCCGAACAACAUGAAGGUUUUGCUCGAGGAGAUAGAAGAUCAUUGGAUAAAACUAAAAAAGGCUUGUUAGAUCUAUCUGCUGGUCAGAAUACCUCAGGGUCUGUGUCAGAAAUACAAUUAUCAAAUUUGGGGGAUACAAUAGGAAUAGAUCAACAUUUUGAAGUUUCCACUCAGAGAAAUGAAAAUAGUACUGUGGAUGGUCACCUUGAAGGAAGAAAGAUGAAUAAUAUAUGUACAGAAAUGAAUGACAGUCCUGGAAAAGGCAAUGAAAUAAACCUAAAACAACCUGCAGUGCUUGUACUUUCUGCCAUGGCUGAGACAGGCCUGGUUAGUCUGCCUUCACUGUUCACAGCUGUGUUGCUGCAGGCAAACAACGGAUUGUCAUCUGACCAGGCUUCAGCGAUUCUUCCAUCAAAUUUUGAAGAAGUAGCCACUGGUGUAUUGAAAGUUUUGAACAAUGUGGCAUGUUUGGAUAUCACUCUUCUGCAGUGUAUGCUGGCUAGAUCAGAUCUGAAGAUGGAAUUCUUUCAUUUGCUCAGUUCUCUUCUGAAUCAUUGCAUGCAUAAAUGGAGAGUACCAAAUGAUCAGGUAAUGUGUAUGCUAUUGUAAAUGGCUUGGUUGAUAGGCCUGAUGGCCUGGAAAAUGGAUUCAAACUUCCAUCAGGUGCUUUUGGACUGCUGCCAAAGGAUGUCGAGAGCAUUGUUACCGCGAAAUGCAAAGAUAAACUGUUGGAUCUCUACAACAAGAGAAGCAUCUCAGAACUGGUUGAGGUGGUCUGUGUAACUGUCGGUGCUAGGGAGUAGCUUCCACCUUCAACUGUUGGCAGGUCCAGCAUAUAUAUCAUUAUCAGACGUGACAACAAGCUCUAUGUUGGACAGGGAGAAGUGUAGUAUUGAAGUUGUUCGUAAAUCACAAGUACGGUAUUGAAAACUUGAAAUGCAUCACUGGGGAUCAAUUGGAUGGUCGAAUGUUACGAUGCUACAAAGCACCAGCACUGUUGGAGGCGGUGAAGGCCAGCAGCUACAGACGCCACACGACCAUGGCCUGGUGCAGGCAGCCAUCUCCGGCGAGCUCACAACCCUGCACCACGAGAAGCACCACGUCGGCAACUGCAACAUUCAGUUCUACGGCUGUGGUGAUCUUGCCGGAGCAGACCAUGAAGUUGUUACGCGCUUGCACAACUGCUUGUUCAUGUAAAAAGUCGUGAAAGGAAAGGCUAAUUCAUGCGUCUACCUGUAUAAGGACCAGUUUUAGUAUGUGGAUGUUGUCCGUGCUGGUGGAACUAAUUGAAAGAUGUGCGCUAGCCAUAGGGCCUUGCUCUAUGAUGUACAAGCAGUGAGUUAAUAAUCAUGCAAGGGGAGGGGAGUUGAUUGAUGUCAAGAAAUUGCACUGCCUAUUCCAAUGUUUUGUUUUUGGACAAGGUUCCUUUUGAAUCUGAAGAGGAAUGAUUGGUCCAUGGUAAUGAUGGCCUUUCAUUUGUGAAAGCCCAGAGGAUGGAUGGAUCGAUGCUGGGUGGGUUUCAAAUUUGUUUGUUUGGAAGAUGCAAUUCGAGCAGAUUAUGUCUACACAACAACAAUCUAUUUGCAGCAGUGGAUGCAAAUCUUAGUUUUCUUGUUGCUAUAUGGCUUGUAAUGUAUACUUCACUUUCUGUACUUUACCUGGGAACCUUUGGUCUUUUCAUAGACCGGAACGGACACCAAUGAAAAGAUUUCAUUUGUCUAAA